rnacentral:rRNA from 1 species
UACGUAGGGUGCAAGCGUUGUCCGGAAUUAUUGGGCGUAAAGAGCUCGUAGGCGGUCUGUCACGUCGGAUGUGAAAACUCGGGGCUCAACCCCGAGCCUGCAUACGAUACGGGCAGACUUGAGUUCGGCAGGGGAGACUGGAAUUCCUGGUGUAGCGGUGAAAUGCGCAGAUAUCAGGAGGAACACCGGUGGCGAAGGCGGGUCUCUGGGCCGAUAUUGACGCUGAGGAGCGAAAGCGUGGGGAGCGAACAGG